GAUAAACCAAUAUUUAAACUAUAUAUUUCAUCCUUUUAUAUUUAUUAUCUUGUCUAAUUUAGUUAAAGCUUUAAGUAUUUAUGAUACUUUUAAUUUAUUGUGUUUGUAGGAGAAGAAAGUGGAGAAACAGCAAGGAAAUGUGAGGUCAGAAAGGAUGACAGGAAGUGGAAUAGGGUAGGUGAAGUGGAAGGCGCGGAGGAAUAAAAUAAGAGGAGCACUGCCUUAGGCAGUGACAGAAAGAAAAGAAAGAAAUAAAAAGAAGAGGGACAGCAGAAAACCAGGAGAGAGAGGCGUGCAGUCAGAAAAGAGGGAGGAGAUAGUCACGGGGGGGAGAAUGCUGCCAUUUGGCAGCGAGGUCAGAGAGAAGUCAGGGGGCUUUGCAGCAAAGGAAUCUUGCGGCGGUGCAAAGACAAGAAAACGAGGCUGCUCUUGCAGCAAAGCAGAGAGCACCGAAGCAGAACUGGGAGACGUGCAUGUGCCUUGCGGUGGAGGGAAAAAUAAAAGAAGAAACCAAGGCUGCCUUGCAAGUCCGUGGCAGCGAGGUGAUGCAACGUGGGCAGAAACAAAGGCAGAAAAGGAAAGCUUCUCCUCUCUCGGUUAUUCUCUCCAAAUCUAUAUUUUACUUUUGGUUUAUUUGUGUCUUAAUAAUGUGUAAAUAAACUUAUUUUGGCUAGAGGUUAAUUCAAAGCCAUGAAUAUAUUUGUAAUAUGAAUUGAUUAUCUUCAGUUGUGAUUUCUGAGUUGUGAUUUAAUUUGCUUAACUGCUUGAUAGAUAACUUAUUUUUGUAUGUCGAUUAAGGAUGCAUACUUAAUUUACAUGCAUGAAUUUGAUGCUAGAAUAUAAGUGAAUUUCACCUAAUCGUUAUGAACUUAUAUUCACAAGUAGUAAAGGUUGCUAGUCACAAUCACGUUAAGUAAAUUCUUGGCAUAAGUUUCAUGCAAAUCAUAGUAACGAGUGCCUCGUCAAUGCUUAUGUUUUUCAUAGAACUUACUGAUUCUUGCUUGUAUCUCUAUUAUGCAAUUCAUGUAGGGAACUUGUAGGGAAUGUUUUGGGUUGUCGUAUGCAAUCAUCCAACCCAAUAACUUGUGGAAAAACUUGAAGGUUAAUUUAAGCGGACCUAAUUAAUCUGGGGUAUUGAGAUUUACAAUUUAUUGAAAGAACAACUGAAAAUCAAUUUAGGUUGCAUAUAUGUCAUGUGUGGAGAAGAACCCUCUAGCCAGUCCGUCAUUUAUCAUUUUACCUUAAUUUUAUGUUUUUGUCAAUUCUGUAAUUUAGUUAAGUUUAAUUUACUUUUCAUCAAAACCAAACACCCAUCCAUUAUUAAAUUAUAUUAUUUAGUUAGUUUUAUUUAUUGUUAGUCUUUUAAUUUAAUUUCCGUCCAUUUCAGUUCCUAGUGUUUAAUUUAAUUGUUUUCAUUAUUUUGAGUCAUUCUAAGUGUGUUUCGGGUUAUUAGAGUUUUUAGCCUAGUUUUGUGUCCUUGAGUCUUCUUAUUUAAUAUAUUUAAAUUAAUUGAGAAUAGAUUAGCAAUCCCCUCCUAAUCCCCGGCCUAGAACGAUACCCUACUUACAUCCAUACUACAAUUGUCAAAAAGAGGGUUUAAUUUGUGUGUCAAGUAAUUCUCGCACCAAAUUUUGGCGCCGUUGCCGGGGAUUAGCAACUUUGCUAAUCCUUUUAUUUUUGUUUUUGCUUAUGUUUAUUUGUGUUUGUGUAUGUUACUUUUGAUAUUUGAUUUAUUUUUCUUUCUUUGAAUUGAGGUACAAAUGGAGCAAGACCUGGAUUCUACUAGCAUUCAAGAUCUAUUGGCACAGCUCACUGCUCAAUUAACUCAUAAUGCCGAACGGACCACAAUGCCAAGUGUCCCUACAUUUGAUGUGCCCCUAUGGGCAAGGAUAUCAAGGUCCUCAAUUUUCUGCAAAUGAAGAUGUUUGGGGAUAUCAAGGCCAUAACCAAUCAAGGGGCAACAUGUUUUCCAAUGCUUACAAUUCAGAUUGGAGAGGUAAUUCAGAUUAUAUGUGGGAUGAACCUCAACAAUUUCAACAAGGUGGAUAUUGGCAGCAAGACGAGUUCUAUUCAAGACCUAUGCAGCCACCACAGCAUCCCCCACAACAAUUCCAAUCAAAUCAAAAUAUGCCCAUGAAUUAUAAUGAAAUUCUGGAAGGACUAAUUUCUGUGGCGCAGGGUUUACGAAAAGAAGAACAAUUGCCGCCAUCGGAAGAGUUCUAUCAGUGGCCAUAUGAACCAUCACAGCCACCACAACAAUCAACCCAAUUCAAUUCAGGUACAUCCUUGGAUAAUGAUACACUGAAUAAUUUACUCGCCUCUUUGAAUCAGGGAGUAGAAAAUCAAAACCAGGAGAUGCAAGACCGAGUCAAAAAGAGUAGACGAAUUGGAUAUGCAUGUUGGGCAAAUUAUGGAAUUCAUGGCACAGAUUCAAGAGCAAAGUGAAGUCUCCAACUCAACUCUUGAAAAAUUCAAAGGCAGAAGUUGAAAUCGAUGAAGCCAUCACCUUGGAAGGUGACAGGGAGGAUGAAGCUGUCCCAGAACCAUCCACACACAGCCCGAACUUGGAUGAAUUGCUGCUGCAAGCAGAAGGGGAGGAGGACGACCUGGGCAGUUUAGAAGAAUUCUUGCUGCAAGCUCCUCAAAUCCCUCUGUCAUCCAACUCAGGUGAGGAAGUUCCCAUUUCAUUUCAUUCUAAUGAUAUUCCUAUUCUUGGUGCAACAAAGCAGGUCCUAGAUCGUGUUGAAUAUUUCAAAGGCCUUUGUUUCCCAAGAAAUAUGAUUCAAGAGAAUGAAGUGGUGGAAGCAUGUCAAGAAUACAUCCAAGGGGCUGUGCAUGAGACAAUCAAGCCCAAAGCCGUUGAGUUUGAUGACCCGGGACAAGCCACAACCAUCAUAGUAAAUCUGGCCAAGUUCAAAGUCCCGGAAAUGUUCAAAAAAUGUGGUGUUUGUCAUUGAGUUUUGUGCCAGAAAAAGAAAGUAAGCCAUCUUCUCCAAUUUUAAUUUUUAUUUAUACUAACAUUUUUCUGAGUUUGAUGAUUCAGGCACCCACUCGUGAAUUCAAACCAUUGCCGAAUCAUUUCAAGUAUCACCUCCCAUUAAAAGAUAAAUUCCAUGCUUUGGAGCCGAUGGGAGUUUAAAGGAAAGAUUCGUCCGGCUAAAGACGUUAAAUCAAGCGCUUCUUGGGAGGCAACCCAAGCAUUCAACGAAGGGAGACUUUGAAAUUGCUCAACAAAUCUUUUUCCGAUCAGAUUUGCAUUCCUAAACCCUUCUCUUCAGUUGUGAUUUCUGAGUUGUGAUUUAAUUUGCUUAACUGCUUGAUAGAUAACUUAUUUUUGUAUGUCGAUUAAGGAUGCAUACUUAAUUUACAUGCAUGAAUUUGAUGCUAGAAUAUAAGUGAAUUUCACCUAAUCGUUAUGAACUUAUAUUCACAAGUAGUAAAGGUUGCUAGUCACAAUCACGUUAAGUAAAUUCUUGGCAUAAGUUUCAUGCAAAUCAUAGUAACGAGUGCCUCGUCAAUGCUUAUGUUUUUCAUAGAACUUACUGAUUCUUGCUUGUAUCUCUAUUAUGCAAUUCAUGUAGGGAACUUGUAGGGAAUGUUUUGGGUUGUCGUAUGCAAUCAUCCAACCCAAUAACUUGUGGAAAAACUUGAAGGUUAAUUUAAGCGGACCUAAUUAAUCUGGGGUAUUGAGAUUUACAAUUUAUUGAAAGAACAACUGAAAAUCAAUUUAGGUUGCAUAUAUGUCAUGUGUGGAGAAGAACCCUCUAGCCAGUCCGUCAUUUAUCAUUUUACCUUAAUUUUAUGUUUUUGUCAAUUCUGUAAUUUAGUUAAGUUUAAUUUACUUUUCAUCAAAACCAAACACCCAUCCAUUAUUAAAUUAUAUUAUUUAGUUAGUUUUAUUUAUUGUUAGUCUUUUAAUUUAAUUUCCGUCCAUUUCAGUUCCUAGUGUUUAAUUUAAUUGUUUUCAUUAUUUUGAGUCAUUCUAAGUGUGUUUCGGGUUAUUAGAGUUUUUAGCCUAGUUUUGUGUCCUUGAGUCUUAUUUAAUAUAUUUAAAUUAAUUGAGAAUAGAUUAGCAAUCCCUCCUAAUCCCCGGCCUAGAACGAUACCCUACUUACAUCCAUACUACAAUUGUCAAAAAGAGGGUUUAAUUUGUGUGUCAGGUAAUUCUCGCACCAAAUUUUGGCGCCGUUGCCGGGGAUUAGCAACUUUGCUAAUCCUUUUAUUUUUGUUUUUGCUUAUGUUUAUUUGUGUUUGUGUAUGUUACUUUUGAUAUUUGAUUUAUUUUUCUUUCUUUGAAUUGAGGUACAAAUGGAGCAAGACCUGGAUUCUACUAGCAUUCAAGAUCUAUUGGCACAGCUCACUGCUCAAUUAACUCAUAAUGCCGAACGGACCACAAUGCCAAGUGUCCCUACAUUUGAUGUGCCCUAUGGGCAAGGAUAUCAAGGUCCUCAAUUUUCUGCAAAUGAAGAUGUUUGGGGAUAUCAAGGCCAUAACCAAUCAAGGGGCAACAUGUUUUCCAAUGCUUACAAUUCAGAUUGGAGAGGUAAUUCAGAUUAUAUGUGGGAUGAACCUCAACAAUUUCAACAAGGUGGAUAUUGGCAGCAAGACGAGUUCUAUUCAAGACCUAUGCAGCCACCACAGCAUCCCCCACAACAAUUCCAAUCAAAUCAAAAUAUGCCCAUGAAUUAUAAUGAAAUUCUGGAAGGACUAAUUUCUGUGGCGCAGGGUUUACGAAAAGAAGAACAAUUGCCGCCAUCGGAAGAGUUCUAUCAGUGGCCAUAUGAACCAUCACAGCCACCACAACAAUCAACCCAAUUCAAUUCAGGUACAUCCUUGGAUAAUGAUACACUGAAUAAUUUACUCGCCUCUUUGAAUCAGGGAGUAGAAAAUCAAAACCAGGAGAUGCAAGACCGAGUCAAAAGAGUAGACGAAUUGGAUAUGCAUGUUGGGCAAAUUAUGGAAUUCAUGGCACAGAUUCAAGAGCAAAGUGAAGUCUCCAACUCAACUCUUGAAAAUUCAAAGGCAGAAGUUGAAAUCGAUGAAGCCAUCACCUUGGAAGGUGACAGGGAGGAUGAAGCUGUCCCAGAACCAUCCACACACAGCCCGAACUUGGAUGAAUUGCUGCUGCAAGCAGAAGGGGAGGAGGACGACCUGGGCAGUUUAGAAGAAUUCUUGCUGCAAGCUCCUCAAAUCCCUCUGUCAUCCAACUCAGGUGAGGAAGUUCCCAUUUCAUUUCAUUCUAAUGAUAUUCCUAUUCUUGGUGCAACAAAGCAGGUCCUAGAUCGUGUUGAAUAUUUCAAAGGCCUUUGUUUCCCAAGAAAUAUGAUUCAAGAGAAUGAAGUGGUGGAAGCAUGUCAAGAAUACAUCCAAGGGGCUGUGCAUGAGACAAUCAAGCCCAAAGCCGUUGAGUUUGAUGACCCGGGACAAGCCACAACCAUCAUAGUAAAUCUGGCCAAGUUCAAAGUCCCGGAAAUGUUCAAAAAUGUGGUGUUUGUCAUUGAGUUUGUGCCAGAAAAAGAAAGUAAGCCAUCUUCUCCAAUUUUAAUUUUUAUUUAUACUAACAUUUUUCUGAGUUUGAUGAUUCAGGCACCCACUCGUGAAUUCAAACCAUUGCCGAAUCAUUUCAAGUAUCACCUCCCAUUAAAAGAUAAAUUCCAUGCUUUGGAGCCGAUGGGAGUUUAAAGGAAAGAUUCGUCCGGCUAAAGACGUUAAAUCAAGCGCUUCUUGGGAGGCAACCCAAGCAUUCAACGAAGGGAGACUUUGAAAUUGCUCAACAAAUCUUUUUCCGAUCAGAUUUGCAUUCCUAAACCCUUCUCUUUACUGCAUUUAUUUUACCUUGUUUAAGUUCAUUAACUGUUAGUUUACUUGCGUGUGAAUCUUGUUUAGGGUAGAUAAAGUCUCUUUACAUUAAUUUACAUAUAUAAAAAUAAAAUAAAAAUAAAAAUAAAAAGAUAAAAUUUAAAAUUAAUGAAAAAAAAAAUAAAAAAAAUAAAAAAAAAAAAUAAAAAAAAAAAAAAAAAAUUAAAAAAAAAAAAAAAACAUAAAAGUACAAAUAUUUCACAAUGACUUAAACUAAUAGCAUUCAUUGGUCAGGUGGUGCUUCAGUAGUCGGCGGAGCUUCGGCAGUCGGCGGGGCCACAGAAGGAGGAGGCAGCAGAGGUUGAUCAGUUGGAGCUUCACUACGCGGUGCCGCUCCUGAAGACGAAGGCAGAUGCGGUUGGAACAAACCCACAAACCUCCGAUGAUCAAGUAAAAUUUGACCAUCGGUGUCCUGCAUCUGGUCAAUCUUCCUCUUCAUGCUGGUGGCAUAGUUGUGUGCAAGCUUAUGUAAUUGUUUAUUUUCAUGCUUGAGUCCUUUAAUCUCCUAUUUGAGACUCUGUAUUUCAGCCACCAAGGAUUCAACGUGACGGGUUCGGGCAUAUAGGCGUUGGGCCAUGUUGGAUACGGAACCCGCACACUGCACACUGAGAGCCAGAGACUCCUUAACCGCCAAUUCAUCGGACCGUCUAGCGAGCAGUCUGUUAUCUCUGGGAGUGACAAGGUUUCGGGCCACCACCGCAGCGGUCAUGUCAUUUUUUAUCACCGAAUCCCCCACGGUAAGAGGACCGGUAGGGGAUAUGAAGGUUGGCCGCCAUAUGUUGUCUGGUGAAGGCGGAGCUGCCUCUUCACCACGGUUCAAGUCAAAACGGCGAUCGGAAGGGCCAGACAUUUUCUGAAAGUGUUGAGAAAGAAGAGAUCAGACAGAUUAAGAUUUCGGAAGUGCAAGAAGGGAGUGUUUACAAGAGGGAGCUCAAGUGUGUUGUGGAACAAAAUUAACGCCUCUAUAAAAAGAAGAAUUCAAAGAGGCGCUCCUCAGAAAUUGAAGAGGCGUCCUCUCGCAAAUCGAAGAGUCGGGCACCUUUCUCAAAAGCCGGAUUCUUUUCUCAAAAGAGGAGUUUCCGUUCUCAAAAAACUGGAUUCUUUUCUCAAAAGAGGCGUUCAUUUCUUAAAAGUUGGGCUUGCUCAGAAACCACGAGCCGAACCCCGGAUUUCGCAAGAUCAAUUCGUCCAGACGUGUUGUCACCCGUCACACGCAAACUCAGCUCUGCGAAAAUCACGGGCAGUCUGUCGAAGUGCCGAUUCCAACCAUCUGUCUCUCUCAGCCUAGUCAGCAUUUGUCACAUGCAACUGGCAGCUUUGCGGAAAUUACGGGCAGCUUUGUCAGAAAGCGCGUAAUUUGUAUUCUUCACCCAUCCACCGGCUGCCGACACUAAGUGAGAGAACAGUUCCGGUUGUGAAGACAAGUCCUAUAAGUUUCUACCUUCGCCUUCCACAGCAAAAGCACACUCUCUCAGCACACCCUCUCAACACCUCUUCAUCUCCGAAAAAUGCAUUCCCAAAGAAUCCUCUCGAGUCACUCUGUGUUCCUCAUUCCUUGGGAUACUCCUGCGAACAACCCAUUCAAAGCAAAAGUAUUUCAUAUCAUAAAGGUUGAAAGCAAGAGUAUCUCAUAUCAUGCUUUCUCCAUGUCCUUCUCCUUGUCUUUGUUUUCCGACAAGGAGAAAGAGAGCAAUCAGCCAGCAUUUGGUAUCAAUCUUCCGAUCUGGAGUCAACUGCCUGGAACCCCUUCCUGAUUGCUUACCUAGCCUUGCUCUCGAGUACUCAUCUUCAUCAUUUUAUGCUUUCUCUUCGUCUACCACAUCUGCCUGGGGGACAGUAAGGGAAGUGAAAAUGAUACCUCGAAGCAUGUGGAGACAAUUCAGCUAGGGACAAGGAGAAAAGAAAGCAAGAGGUGGGCACUUGGAAAGAUUGAAGAAAGAAAUAAGGACCAACACCUUUCCCUCGUGCCUGCCCGUUGUGCAGAAGAAACAAGCAGAGAAGAAUGCAGCUUGCACAAUCAUCCCAGCGGAAGGAGUCCGAACUGAGGAACUAGAGAAGCUGCCACAUCUGCUUGGAGAACAAAUAAGGAACUGCAACAUAACCAAAGAGCAAAGCUUCGCCGUACAAUAUCAUAAAAUCAUCACUUGCAAGUGAAAAGCUAAGUGUCACCCUGUUCAAGAGGAAAGCUGUGGAAAGUCAACAAGCACGAACAAUGAUCACCUAUUAGUUCUAUUCAUUAUCUUUUAUUUUCAUUUUCAAUUUUUCGUUUGCAUUUUUCUACAUUUUCUUGUGUCCUUAACUGAAUUAUUUCUUUUCUUUGCAGGAACUUUUGGUUAUUUCCACCCUUGAAGUUGAUUGCAGAAUUUUAGCUUGGGGGGUCAUCGCUUGAUUUUACUGCAAAUUAGGGAAGUUUUCAGUCCAAUUGCUUUAUUUUGUUUUUUUUAUUAUUUUGUUUAUUUUAUUUAUUUUUGCAUUAUAGUGUUUUCUGACAUUGGGGACAAUGUCCAGUUUAAGUAUGGGGGUACAGGGUAAAAAUGACCAAAUUGAAAUUUUUUGUACCUUCAACUUCGAACUGGUUUCAUUUGUUUCUGUGUUGUUGCUUUUUAUUUUUUAGUUUUGUUUUCUCUAUAUAAAAAAAAAAAAAAAAAAAUCGGAAAAAUUUAAAAAUCCAAAAAUAUUGUCUUGUUUUCCUUAUUGUUAUGAAUUAGAUUUUUGUUAGUUUCCCGACCCAAUGAUAUAAUUGGAUAAAAUUUGAACCAUGAUCAUCAAGAACUUAGUUAACAUGUGUUUUGUGAAAUUCCUAAUUCUUUUGUUAGUUUUGUACAUGUUUGAUCAUCUUUGAAAAACCAAAUGCACAUAGCCUUGUUGAUGUGAAACUAAAGCAUGACUUAAAGCUUCAUAUGUGAAUUUAGUGACCAUAUACAUCCUAUGUGAGUUUUUGAGCCUAUUGAAAGUGUGUGCAUUUUUCAUACACUCCUAUUCUUUCAUGUGUGAUGAACUUAUGUGAGAUACAUCUCUAGAACUUGCGUAACGAUCUUUCGAAAUGUUUGUCAUUGAUUGCAUGAACUUGGAAAUGAUAGAAGCAUUAGGUUUACCACCAUGGCCCAAAUAACCAUGUUUCCCAAAUAAAAAUGAUAUCAUUAGAUUGCCAAUUUGAGCCGUGUGUGUUGAGCCUUUUAUUUCUUAUCACCAGAUAUGUCUACCCUUAUACCUGAAACAUUUUUCCUUACCCUUUCCAAGCAAGCUAGUGAGCAAUGUGAGAUUGUCUUAUGAGAAAUGUUUGUAAAGUACUUUGAAGGUGUUUGGCAAAAAAAUAAGUGUGGGGGUAUUUCAUGUUUGUAUAAAAAAUAAAAAAAAAUAAAAUAAAAAAAAAGAGAAAAAAAAAAAAGAAAAAGAAAAAGAAAGAUUGUAUACGAAGAAAAAAAAAGAAAAAAAAAUGUUUUUAAAGUUUCAGUUUAAGGGUGUGAUUGGAGGUUUCAGAAGAAUCGUUGGAGAGCUUAAGUUCUUAUAAAUCUAAAGAAAAGAAUUGCUUGCAAUGUAGCUUGGAACUUGUGUUUUCCUAUUCUUUCGUUUCAAUAACCCUAUCCCUAAGCCUCAUUACAUCCAAUAAAAGUCCUCUUGAUUUAAGUUUUGCAAUUAUGACUGUGGAGAAGUGAUCUUUAUGCAAGCUUAUGGUAGAAAUUUCACAUUUGAUUCUUUGAGCGAAACACAUUAAAACUAAACACAUGUGUGAUUGAGUGUAUAUCCCGUGAGAAGGUUGCUAGUUUGCAUAUGAUGAUUUUAAAAAUAAGAACUUGAAAUUGCAUUAGCAUGGCUAUCUCACACACUACACUUCAAGGAUGAUUCAAAGAUUACUGCUAAUAUUUGAAUAAGGAAGAUGAACUUGGAUUAGUUUGUUGGUGCUAGCUAUGGUUCUUGAUGAUUUGUUUUCUCGAAUGAAAUUCUAUGAAGGUCACAUAGGGGGAAACUAAUGUUUUUCAUGAUUAGUUCUUUCUCAUGUUUUCUUUGUUUUGCUCGAGGACUAGCAAAAGCUAAGUAUGGGGGUAUUUGAUCGGAUAAUAUUUAUAUAUAUUUUUACUUCAAAUUCACUCGUCUUUUCUUAGUUAGUUCCUUAUAUUUUUGAGCUAUUUACGUUAUUUUUGUGUUUAUAGGAUUUGUUAUGCAAAGAAAAUAAAAAUAGAACAAGUGAAAUUUUAUGUAAUAAAUUUGUCAAAAGCAAAUUUAAAUUACAAUUUUGCUAAUCCAUUGUGACGCUAAAUGAUAAACCAAUAUUUAAACUAUAUAUUUCAUCCUUUUAUAUUUAUUAUCUUGUCUAAUUUAGUUAAAGCUUUAAGUAUUUAUGAUACUUUUAAUUUAUUGUGUUUGUAGGAGAAGAAAGUGGAGAAACAGCAAGGAAAUGUGAGGUCAGAAAGGAUGACAGGAAGUGGAAUAGGGUAGGUGAAGUGGAAGGCGCGGAGGAAUAAAAUAAGAGGAGCACUGCCUUAGGCAGUGACAGAAAGAAAAGAAAGAAAUAAAAAGAAGAGGGACAGCAGAAAACCAGGAGAGAGAGGCGUGCAGUCAGAAAAGAGGGAGGAGAUAGUCACGGGGGGGAGAAUGCUGCCAUUUGGCAGCGAGGUCAGAGAGAAGUCAGGGGGCUUUGCAGCAAAGGAAUCUUGCGGCGGUGCAAAGACAAGAAAACGAGGCUGCUCUUGCAGCAAAGCAGAGAGCACCGAAGCAGAACUGGGAGACGUGCAUGUGCCUUGCGGUGGAGGGAAAAAUAAAAGAAGAAACCAAGGCUGCCUUGCAAGUCCGUGGCAGCGAGGUGAUGCAACGUGGGCAGAAACAAAGGCAGAAAAGGAAAGCUUCUCCUCUCUCGGUUAAUUCUCUCCAAAUCUAUAUUUUACUUUUGGUUUAUUUGUGUCUUAAUAAUGUGUAAAUAAACUUAUUUUGGCUAGAGGUUAAUUCAAAGCCAUGAAUAUAUUUGUAAUAUGAAUUGAUUAUCUUCAGUUGUGAUUUCUGAGUUGUGAUUUAAUUUGCUUAACUGCUUGAUAGAUAACUUAUUUUUGUAUGUCGAUUAAGGAUGCAUACUUAAUUUACAUGCAUGAAUUUGAUGCUAGAAUAUAAGUGAAUUUCACCUAAUCGUUAUGAACUUAUAUUCACAAGUAGUAAAGGUUGCUAGUCACAAUCACGUUAAGUAAAUUCUUGGCAUAAGUUUCAUGCAAAUCAUAGUAACGAGUGCCUCGUCAAUGCUUAUGUUUUUCAUAGAACUUACUGAUUCUUGCUUGUAUCUCUAUUAUGCAAUUCAUGUAGGGAACUUGUAGGGAAUGUUUUGGGUUGUCGUAUGCAAUCAUCCAACCCAAUAACUUGUGGAAAAACUUGAAGGUUAAUUUAAGCGGACCUAAU
rnacentral:lncRNA from 1 species